CAAUUAAUAAAUGUGAGGUUUUGUUUUAUUAUUAAUUUUUGGACGCCGGGUCACGGUAGGAAUUAUAAUUUUUGUUUUACAGUUUUUUUAAAUGGUAAUAAUAUCUAUAUACAUAUACCAAUGUAAAACAUUCUUUUAAGCUUUGAACAGAAAAUAUGAAUUUGGAACUUUUAGAAUCUUUUGGACAGAAUUAUCCAGAAGAAUUUGAUGGUACAUUGGAUUCUCUCUCAAUAGCUGUAACUUGCCAGUUUAACAAAAGAGGAACCCUUCUAGCUGUUGGUUGUAAUGAUGGAAGAAUUGUGAUCUGGGACUUCUUAACACGAGGAAUUGCAAAAGUUAUUGCAGCACAUGUACAUCCAGUUUGCAGUAUAAGUUGGUCGAGGAAUGGUCAUAAAGUUGCUUCUGCUUCCACUGACAAUAAUGUCUGUAUAUGGAAUAUACUUUCUGGAGAAUGUGAACAAAAAUAUAAAUUUCCCUGUCCUGUUCUAAAAGUUCAGUUUCAACCAAGAAAUGAGGAGAGAUUACUUAUUUGUCCCAUGAAACAUCCAGCAGUGAUUGUGGACAUUAAUGGAGUGCAUAAGGUACUACCAAUUGAUGAAGAUGGCGACUUGAACAUAGUUGGCUCAUUUGAUAGAAGAGGGCAGUAUAUCUAUACCGGUAAUGCAAAAGGGAAAGUAUUGGUGUUGAAUUCUAAUACACUAGAAAUAAAAGCUAGUUUUAGAAUAAUGCAAGGAUCUUCUAGCACAACUGCUGUGAGGAGUAUUGAAUUUGCACGAAGAGGGGAUUGUUUUCUGGUAAAUGCUGCAGAUAGGGUUAUAAGAGUAUAUGAUAGCAAAGAAGUGUUGACAUAUGGAAAAGAAAUAGAACCCAUUCAAAAAUUGCAGGACUUGGUAAACAAAACCAUGUGGAAAAAAUGUUGUUUCUCUGGAGACGGUGAAUAUAUUUGUGCUGGUUCGAAUAGACAGCACGCCCUUUAUGUUUGGGAAAAAUCCAUUGGUAAUUUGGUAAAGAUCCUUCACGGUACAAAAGGAGAAUUGCUUUUAGAUGUAGCUUGGCACCCAGUAAGGCCUAUUAUCACUAGUAUUUCUUCAGGUGUUGUAAGUGUUUGGGCUCAAAAUCAAGUUGAAAAUUGGUCAGCAUUCGCUCCAGAUUUCAAAGAAUUAGACGAAAAUGUUGAAUAUGAAGAACGAGAAGGUGAAUUUGACAUAGAAGAUGAGGAUAAAUCAGUGGCAAGUGGCGGUGAUGACAAGGAAGAUACGGAUUUAGAGGUAGAUGUAUCGACAGUAGAUCCUGUAGCAGCUUUUUGUAGUUCUGACGAAGAAUAUGAAAAUUUAGAUUGCUUACAAUUUUUACCAAUAGCUCCAGAGAUUGAAGAUCCUGAAGAUAAUUGGACGCCUACAGAUAUUAAUAUAUUGCCAUCCAAUACAGGCAAUGGUGCACCCCCUGCCAAAAAAACAAAGUACAAAACAUAUGAUAUAUUACUUGAAAAUAUCUCUGAUGGAGGUAAUAACAGUUAGAAUAUAUUUAUGGAAUGUUUUCAGUUUGUCGUGUUACUUCUAUAGUUAUUAGAAUGUUAGUAUAUAAUUUUACUUUUAGUUAAAAGUUGAUUUAGAAUAAACUGAUUAUGUAUGUUACGAAA
rnacentral:misc_RNA from 1 species